rnacentral:tRNA from 1 species
GAAGGGUAGAGCUCAGUGGUAGAGCGCGUGCUUAGCAUGCACGAGGUCCUGGGUUCAAUCCCCAGAACCUCCU